rnacentral:rRNA from 1 species
UUCGCCCUUGGUUGAUCCUGCCGGACCUGACUGCUAUCGGAUUGAUACUAAGCCAUGCGAGUCAUUGUAGCAAUACAAGGCAUACGGCUCAGUAACGCGUAGUCAACCUAACCUAUGGACGGGAAUAACCUCGGGAAACUGAGAAUAAUGCCCGAUAGAACACUAUACCUGGAAUGGUUUGUGUUCCAAAUGAUUUAUCGCCGUAGGAUGGGACUGCGGCCUAUCAGUUUGUUGGUGAGGUAAUGGCCCACCAAGACUAUUACAGGUACGGGCUCUGAGAGGAGUAGCCCGGAGAUGGGUACUGAGACACGGACCCAGGCCCUAUGGGGCGCAGCAGGCGAGAAAACUUUGCAAUGUGCGAAAGCACGACAAGGUUAAUCCGAGUGAUUUGUGCUAAACGAAUCUUUUGUUAGUCCUAGAACCACUAACGAAUAAGGGGUGGGCAAGUUCUGGUGUCAGCCGCCGCGGUAAAACCAGCACCUCAAGUGGUCAGGAUGAUUAUUGGGCCUAAAGCAUCCGUAGCCGGCUCUGUAAGUUUUCGGUUAAAUCUGUACGCUUAACGUACAGGCUGCCGGGAAUACUGCAGAGCUAGGGAGUGGGAGAGGUAGACGGUACUCGGUAGGAAGGGGUAAAAUCCUUUGAUCUAUUGAUGAC